GACGAACGCUGGCGGCGUGCUUAACACAUGCAAGUCGAACGGAAAGGCCCUGCGUUUGUUGGGUGCUCGAUUGGCGAACGGGUGAGUAACACGUGAGUAACCUGCCCUUGACUUUGGGGUAACUUCAGGGAACUGGGGCGCAUACCGGGUAGGAUCUCCUGCUGCAUGUUGGUGGUUGGUGAGUUCCGGCGGUUGUGGCUGGACGCGCGGCUUAUCAGCUUGUUGGUGGGGUAGGGGCUUACCAAGGCUUUGACGGGUAGCCCGCCUGAGAGGGUUGCCGGCCACCAUGGUCCUGCGAUAGGGACCAGAAUGCAACCGGCGGCAGCAGUCGGGAAUAUUGCGGAACGGGCCGACGCCUGAUGCAGAAACGCCGCGUGCGGGAUACCGGGCUUCGGGUUGAAAACAGAUUUGGCAUGAACCGAAGACUGAGUGACGGUAACGAGUAAAGAAGCAACGGCUAACUACGUG
rnacentral:rRNA from 1 species